CCUACGGGAGGCAGCAGUGGGGAAUCUUGCGCAAUGCGCGAAAGCCUGAUGCAGCAACGCCGCGUGCGGGAAGAAGGCCUUAGGGUUGUAAACCGCUUUCAGCAGGGAAGAAACUGACGGUACCUGCAGAAGAAGGUGCGGCCAACUACGUGCCAGCAGCCGCGGUAAU
rnacentral:rRNA from 1 species